rnacentral:lncRNA from 1 species
CGUCUGGUUCGUCUUCUCCGACGAGGGCAGGCGGCUAGGGUUUUUGUGGUCAGGUGUGGGGGUUUUAUUUAUACCCUUUUGCUUUUUGAUCACAGCCGUCCAUUUUGAUUAAAUCUGGGCUGUCCCUGCUUGAUUGAAUCUGGGCCGUCCGUGCGCGUGCAUCUGGGCCGUCCGUGGGGUUGCAUCUAGGCCGUCCGUGCGCACGCUUGAUCUGGACCGUCCGUGCGCGCGGGGACGCAUCUGGGCCGUCCGAUCGCGCGCACGCGGAUCGCCCACGUGGCCCUUUCCCGGGUCGACGUGGUCUUGCCACGCGGCAGGUCCUGGUUGGCCAGGACUGCUGACUGGGCUGCUGAUGUGGCUGCUGACGUGGCACUGACGGGGCGCAAUUUUUCUAAAUUGCGUUUUGACCCCCGGUUUCCGAUUUUCUUUUCAAAAAUACCCCCAUAAUCCUAAUUUUUACCCCUUUUGUCCU